CAGGUUUCCUGGGUGCAGUGGGGUGUCUCAGGCCACUGUCAAGCUGCCCUGCAGCUCUGGGUCUGCAGGAGGCGCACCAUGGAAGGAAGCCAAAGCAGAGAAAAAACCCUGGUCCCAGAGCACGGUGGAGGCCACGCCCCCGUGGUCUAGGCUCCGCCCACUGGGAGACACUGGGACCCGAGCUGGGAGGCUGCUUGGUGCCAAUUCUCACGCCAUACCCAAAACUCGAGUAGCUCACCAGCUGUCACCUGCUGCUGCUGCUUCUCCCUCCUCAACGUGCGAAAAGCAGAUCCACAGACCUGGGCACAGCCCAAUAGCGGAACAAAAGCCUGGCGAAGUGGUGCACACCGGUGAUCCCAGAACUCCAGAAGCUGAGGCAGGAGGAUGGAUCUCACUAUGUAGUUCAAACUGGCUUUGAACUCACUGUACAGCCCAAGCUGGCCUCAAACUCAUGAUGAUCCUCCUGCCGCAGCCUCCAGAGUGCUGGGAUUAUUCAAAUGCAGAAGAGUAUGGAUGAUCUGUCCACACACAAAAGACCCAAAGAAUCCAGCUGAGGCCUGGAUCCCAUGGCAGUGUCCUGCAGAAGUCCAGCUGAAGACACCACAAUGUCUCAUGCAAGUCUGUAUCAAGGAUUUGCACUGGGAAGGCCCAAAGGUCAGCGUGGAAGCUAGAAAGGCCGCACCAGCAGGAUGAAGGAUCAGUGCCAGCAGGCUGAGGGAUCUGCUCUGGAGCCAGGAAGCAGCACUCAAGGUAAGGCCAGAGCUCCCCCAAUGAGAACCGUAGCCAUCCUCAGAGACAGAGAUGCCCCGAGCUCCUCCAGUGAUAAAAGCUGAGUUCACAUCAGGAAGGCCAGCAGACAAGCUUCUCCAGGAGAUUCAGCAGCACACUGUCUUCCCCUCCAGUUGUUCUUUUAUGCUGUUGGCAACAGUCCUCAGGUUUGUGCACAUCUAGAACCACGCUCAAGGAGUUCAGCAGGGAGUUUUAAACUGACCAUUAGUUAAUCCACUACAAAUAGGAAGAAAAAACAGAAAGUUUAGCCAAUCAGAAAAUAGUAGGGGAAGAAGAAUGAGGCAAUAAAAGAAAGAAAUAGUAAAAUCUGAAACAUGUAAUUAAUCACAAUAAAUGUAAAUGGAAAAAAUUCAUAGAUUAAAAAAACUAGAUGCAUAAAUAUGGAAUACAGAAAUAUUAAAAAUAAAGGAAACAGAAAACUUAUACUAGGCAAAUUCUAAUCCAAAGAAAGGCGGAGCUGCACUAUUAAUAUCAAUUAAAAUGAACUUUAAUUUUCUUUUUCAAGAUUAAGUGGAAGGACAUCCCCAUCUGUCACAUAAAAUGCAACUAGAGCAUGAGGACAGAUUUGGAAUACAUAAAAGAAAAAGAUACAUAAGCCUACAAAUUCAGCAAACUCAGUGAACCCUGAACUGGAUAAUUUAAAAAAUGUACACACACAGACACAAUCUAGUUAAAUGAUUCAAAACAAAACAAAACAAAAAAUCAUGGCAUUAGCUAGAGAGGAAAGUUACAUUAUAAGAGAGAACAACACUGUACAUUAUUCUUAAUUCUCAUUAGCCAUCAAGGCCAAAAGGAAAUGGAACAGCAUUUUUAGGGGGCAGGGGGUACCAGGAAUCAAAUGUGGGAUCUUGCACUUGCUAGGCACUGUGCUGCUGAGCUAUAUCCUUAGCUCUGGGAUAGCAUUUUUUAAAUGCAGAAAACAAGGAAAUGUAAUGAUUAAGACUGACUAUGUCAUGCUAGGUGUUGUGGCACACACCUGUAAUCACAGCACUCUGGAGGCUGAGGAAGAUGGAAUGGGGAGAAACAGACAGGGGACUUCAACUGGCUUUACUAUAUUUUAUUGCUUAAAAGAAAAUCUGAGCCGGGCAUGGUGGCUCAUGCCUGUAAUCCCAGCACUUGGGAGGCUGAAGCAGGAGGAUCGUUGCAAGUUUGAGAGCAGCCAGGGGUACAAAUCAAGCUCAAGGCCAGCCUGAACUGCAUAGAGAGACCCUGUAUCAAAAAGAAAAAAAAAAAAAAAAAAAGAAAAGAAAAGAAAAAAAUCUGAAACAAAUAUUGUAAAGUAUGAAGGUUUAACAAAACUAGGCUGCAUGAGCUGUUGGUUCUAUAAAUUUUAAUCUUCCUUAACCACUGACUUUUUUUUUUUAUCGAACUCACGACUGCCUGCUUACAGGACAGGCGCUUAUGCCACUGAGCUAAAUCCCCCGCGCCCAACCACUGACUUUUUUGUUGUUGUUGUCGAUACCGGAGAUCAAACUUACGACCUCACACUUGCCAGGCAAGCACUUAUGCCGCUGAGCUAAAUCUCCAUCCCCCAUUUUUAUUUAAACAAUAUUUUUAGUUAUUUUCAAAACAUAGAUUAUAUGCUGAAAUGUCUUUUACACCAAAUGUUUACACAUUUGCAAUCAUCAAAGCAAAUCUUGAUUUAGGUUGAUUCAGUAUUUUCUAUGAUUAUAUGUAAACAUUAUAAGUUUGACAUUGUAAAACGUAUAUCAGUAUGUUAUCAUUAUUUUGUUUUUGUAUGGAGAGUUCCAUUUUUAAAAACAACCUCAAAACCUUACGAAGAAUUACAUCACAAAACAAUUUUAUUGGGAUAUAGUUCACACACUACAUAAUUUAAAUUGUAUAAUUAAAUUUGUGUGUGGGGGGGUGUGUGUGUGUGUGUGUGUGCAUGCUUUGACACAGGGUCUUGCUAUGUAGUACAGGCCAGGCGGGCCUUCAGUUCACUAUGUAACCCAGGCUGGCCUUGAACUCGCAGUGAUCCUCCUGCCUCAGCCUCUGAAGUACUGCAAUCACAGGUGUGCACCACCACUCCCAGUUUAUGAAUGUUUUAGUAUAUUCACAGACCUAUACAAUGCCAUCCCAGGCAACUUUACAACAUUUCAUCACAUCAAAAACUAAAGCAAAGCAUCUUGUUGUCUUUAAUUAUUGCUUUCUAGCCCUCAUUGCUCCUAGCCUUGUAUAAAAACUUUUCUACUUUGUGGUUUGCGUAAAUUUGUCUACACUGGGAUUUUCACAUUUAUGAUUGACUUCUUUCACAUGUCUGCAAGAUUCAUCCAUGCUGUAGUGUGUAUCAUGACUUCUUUCUUUUUCGUGGUCAAACAAUAUUCCAUUUUAUGAAUCUGCCUUCUUUUUUUCUUUUGUCUUUCUGAGACAGGCUUUCCCUAUGCGGUUCAAGCUGGCCUUGAGCUCACUCUGUAGCCCCAGCAGGUCUCCAAUUUGCAAUGAUCCUCCGGCCUCAGCCCCCUGAGUGCUGGGAUUACAGGGGUGCGCCACCACCCCUGGCACAAAUCUGCCAAAUUUUGUCAUUUUUCAAUUAAGGGACUUUGGGUUUGUUUCCACCUUCAGGAAAUUGUGCUAAAUCCUGCUGUGAAUAUUCGUGUGCAGAUAUUUUGUUGAACAUAUGUUUCCAUUUUUCUUUGGCAUGUACCUGGGAGUGGAAUUGCUGGAUCCUCGUCUAACUCCACGUUUGACCAUUCAAGGAAAGGACGCUGCCGGUUACGUGUCCACUGGCGGCAGUGAGGGUCCUGCCUCCCUGCCGAUACUUGAAACUAUUGGCCUUCCUGUUAUAGCUGGGGUUAGACUGCGACAUGCUGUCUCCUGUGGAUCUGAUUUGUGCUUCUAAUGGUAUCAAGCACUUCUGCUUGUGUAUUUGCCAUUUACACAUCUUCUUUGCAAAUGGGUCUGCUUAGAUCUUUUUGCCCAAGUAUUUGUUUUUAUAUUGUUGAUAUGUAAGAGUCCUCUUAACCCUAAAUAAAUUCCCUUUUCAGA